rnacentral:rRNA from 1 species
CGCGGGGACACGGGAAGGGAAGCAGAGCCGGGAAUGGAAAGCCCGGUGCAAGCGAAGUAGUCGCAGGGUUGGAAAAUCCGCCCUGCAUAAGACGAAGGCGUGAUGGGGAGCGAAAUGAAGUAGUGAAGCUGCGGCCCCUUCCUGUCGAGAAAAGCCGCUAUCGUGUAGCAAGGGCCCGUACCGUAAACCGACACAGGUGGAUGAGGAGAGGAUCCUAAGGCCGGCGGGAGAAGUGUUGUUAAGGAACUCGGCAAAAUGACUCCGUAACUUCGGGAGAAGGAGUGCUGCGCAAGCAGCCGCAGAGAAAUGGCCCAAGCAACUGUUUAGCAAAAACACAGGUCUAUGCGAAACCGGAAGGUGAGGUAUAUGGGCUGACGCCUGCCCGGUGCUGGAAGGUUAAGGGGAGAGCUUAGCAUAAGCGAAGGUUUGAACUUAAGCCCCAGUAAACGGCGGCCGUAACUAUAACGGUCCUAAGGUAGCGAAAUUCCUUGUCGGGUAAGUUCCGACCCGCACGAAAGGCGUAAUGAUUUGGGCACUGUCUCAACAACACACCCGGUGAAAUUGAAAUACCAGUGAAGAUGCUGGUUACCCGCGCCAGGACGGAAAGACCCCAUGGAGCUUUACUCCAGCCUGAUACUGGGAUUCGGUAUUGCAUGUACAGGAUAGGUGGGAGGCUAAGAACUUAUGGCGCCAGCCGUAAGGGAGCCGAUGUUGGGAUACCACCCCUGCAGUACUGGGUUUCUAACCUGCGCCCGUGACCCGGGCGGGGGACAAUGUCAGGCGGGGAGUUUGACUGGGGCGGUCGCCUCCGAAAGGGUAUCGGAGGCGCUCAAAGGUCUCCUCAGGAUGGUUGGAAACCAUCCAGAGAGUGCAAAGGCAGAAGGAGGCUUGACUGCGACACCGACGGGUGGAGCAGGUACGAAAGUAGGACUUAGUGAUCCGGUGGCAUAAAGUGGGAUUGCCAUCGCUCAACGGAUAAAAGCUACCCUGGGAUAACAGGCUUAUCACUCCCAAGAGUUCACAUCGACGGAGUGGUUUGGCACCUCGAUGUCGGCUCAUCGCAUCCUGGAGCUGGAGCAGGUUCCAAGGGUUGGGCUGUUCGCCCAUUAAAGCGGUACGCGAGCUGGGUUCAGAACGUCGUGAGACAGUUCGGUCCCUAUCCGGCGCGGGCGCAGGAUAUCUGAGAGGAGCUGUCCUUAGUACGAGAGGACCGGGAUGGACCGUCCGCUGGUGGACCGGUUGUCAUGCCAAUGGCACGGCCGGGUAGCCAAGACGGGAAGGGAUAAACGCUGAAGGCAUCUAAGCGUGAAGCCCCCCUCAAGAUGAGAUAUCCAUACUCGAAAGAGUGAGAGACCCCUUAGAGACGAUGAGGUAGAUAGGGCAGAGAUGGAAGCACAGCGAUGUGUGGAGUUGACUGUUACUAAUCGGUCGAAAGCC